CCCCCCCCGCCCCGAGAGGAACAGCCCGCCGCAGAACCGGCAGCCCAAACGGGAGAGAGCGAGAAACUGCCCCAGAGCCCGCACUGCUUUCACGGCAAUGAAUCCGGCUGGGUGCUGGAAGCUUUUGUGGUCUGAGCAGCCCUCUGCCAAGGCUCCUCGGCAUCUCCAGCUUGCAAUAUCUCCACAGCUCGCCCACAUGCAGAAGCCUGGCUCACUGGACCUUCGCGGAUUGUUCCAAGAGGAAGCUUUUCCGGGAUUAAUUUAUGGUCGGCGUUCUGGACAGGCAGAAUUGUUUGAGCAGCUGCUGUCUCUAAUGGCUUCAAGGUUGCCAGCUGCUGCUGUGCCUGGACCAUGGGCUGCAUCCCCUCUGUGGUGCCCUGCACUCCAGGAGCAGCUUGGACAACUCCAUGGCUGGGUGGCCCAUGCAGUAGGGCCCUAUGAGUGGCUGAAUAGGGCAAAUGUGCCCCAUGCAGUCCUCACUGCUGAACCCCUCUCCAGUGGACACUUCCCCGUGCCCCCAUGGCAAACAGGGAAAGGAGAAUAGGGGGCUCACGGGAGAUGCAGUAGUAGGUGGGGUUGUCUUGUACCUAGUUUCAUUGUUUGCGUGUGUUUAUGUGCUUUAUUCGUGGUAACUUUUAAAGGUUUGGGUGUUGCUGGUGUUUUGGGGUGUUAAGGGCAACUGGCCUGCCCUGCAACGGUUUCAUAUUGUACUUGUCCAAUAAAUGUGUCAAAAUAAAAGUUUUGAUUUCAUAAAGAAAUCUUAUUGCCAUCACUGCAACACAGCAUGUAAUGUGUAUUUCAAAUAAUAAAGGCAAACACAUGAUCAGGGACAGCAGGGAAGUGGCAUGCAAAACCCAUGUCUCAAUCCAGCUAUGU